rnacentral:rRNA from 1 species
CCUACGGGUGGCAGCAGUGAGGAAUCUUGGUCAAUGGCCGGAAGUCUGAACCAGCCAAGUCGCGUGAGGGAAUAAGGCCCUAUGGGUCGUAACCCUCUUUUGUCAUGGAGCAAAGGCGUCCACGUGUGGACGAGCGGAGAGUACCUGAAGACAAAGCAUCGGCUAACUCCGUGCCAGCAGCCGCGGUAAUACGGAGGAUGCGAGCGUUAUCCUGAUUUAUUGGGUUUAAAGGGUGCGUAUGCGGAGUGUCCAGUCAGCGGUAAAAUUUCGGGGCUCAACCCCGUCGUGCCGUUGAAACUGACGCCAGUGAGUGAGUGAGAAGUAAGCGGAAUGCGUGGUGUAGCGGUGAAAGGCAUAGAUAUCACGCAGAACGCCGAUUGCGAAGGCAGCUUACCGGCGCUCAACUGACGCUGAGGCACGAAAGUGCGGGUAUCGAACAGGAUUAGAUACCCUAGUAGUC